UGGCCCCCUGCCCUCGCCUCGGGCGCCUGGGCUGGAGGGGGGAGCAGCACCGUUCCCGAGGAGAGCCCAAAAACCCUGCAAGGGUAAAGGUUCGGGGGUAAGGCUGGUGAUUAAAAAAAAUAAUAAUAAUCAAAAUAAUGCAAUCUCUUAUGCUGGGCGGGGGGAGGCGUUGAGGGUCCCGAAAGUCGUACUAUGUUACAGCCCUGAGUUGUGGUUUCGGGAGAUCGUUUGAUUGCGGUGAUGGGGAGCGAUAGCAGGGGCGAGCCUUUAGGGUACAAGUUGGAUGAAGACGGUCAAACUGCUGCAGCCGUCUCCCGUAGAGCUCGGGGUAUCUGCCCCCCCCCAUCCCUCCCGAGAGAGGGGCGAAGAGCCUUCGCGCAGGGGCGGCAGCUCCCAGCUCCUGCAGGAGUCCGGGCGCAGUGAGAGGCACUGCGGAAAAUCGGUAACAAAUAUUCCCGGGAUUCCCGCACCGAGAGGGGCGAGACGCUGCCAGUCAGCUGCAAAACAGCAGCGCUCUCCACAUGCCUUUGCCUCUCUGGCUGAGGAGCAGUGGCUCCCCACUCCCAAAUACUGCCCGCUGGUGUGCUCAUGUUGGUACCUACCGAUUUAUCCAGCCUGAGAAUGAAAAAUACAACCUGUCAUGGGAACAGUGUGUGCAGUUAUUCUGAGCCUGGCAAGCCUUUCCUUGUGCACAAUUUCCCUUUUUUUUUUCCUUCCGACCCAGAUCCUGCAGAUUAGGUUCCCAUGAUUUCUUUAAGGAAGAAGCACAGAGACACACACAAGAACGUGCUCUCAUAGAGCAGCUUACAGUCUGUGCCUGAUCCAGUCUGCGAGGAAGAGUGAACUGCCUGGGUAACAGAGGUUAAAUCAAAGUCGAUAGGUCAGGAAACCAUAAUAAGGGAGGUUUGUUUGAUGGGAAGUUGACACAGUUAUGAUGGCCAAUAUUUAUUGGCCAAACUGUUUGCCUGAAACAAACCCUAACUUUUGUCUUGUGAGAAACUGGGCACAUAUCCUGGAUCAUCUUGUGCCUAGUUUUCCAAGACUAGCCACUAUAAUUUCAAAUACUCUUUGAGGCAGCUAUUGCAUGAAAAGUUUUUAGUCACACGGCCUAGUUUCUUUGCCUGCAGACAUCAAUAUUUUAGAGACUUUAAAGAGUUCUGCAGUGUCUUGUGUUGGUGGAAACCUUCUGAAAUAAUUUACUUUUCAGUAUCUUGUAUUCCCAUAGCUAAAUGUCGUGCCUACCUUAGUUCACAGCUUUGAAGCUUCUGAACUGCCUUUCUGUCUGGAAACUGGAGGAACAGAGAAAACGUGGCCAAUUACUGAGACGGUUUCCAAGACACAAGAAUGGAUCCCUGCUCACUGGCUAGAAAAUGUACUCGCCUGCAGUAACAAGCGAUGAGACCAUAGGAAGUCCUUCCGUGUUCCUAUAAAACAGUAAAAACUUCACAGAAGGAAAAUAAGGGGCUGAUUCUCUUACCCAGAGUAGUAUAGAUCCUUAUCCUACUGGAAAGAGAAGCCCAGGUUAGGGAACCUCUAAGAACGCCAUGAGCACCAGCAACUCUAAUCCAUACAGAAUUUAUGGGGUAUUAUCCCAGGCACAUGAUCAAAAGAGGACAG